rnacentral:sRNA from 1 species
GGAUGCACGGCAGCAAUUCUCACAACUUUCCACGCUGUCGAAGACCGAUCAGACGGGCCAAAUCAAUGCCAGAUGGUGUUGACAAGGAGAUGGGCACCAUUGGCUUUAGGAACUUCCCACCCUCUCUGAUGAAACUACUCGGUUGAAUGUGCCAAACCUGUUUGACAACGGGGUUUUUUUUAAUACUUUGUUCUUCUUCAUACUGAGAUUCGUCGUACAUAAUCUAACGGUUCGAUUACCGGGAUGGGAUGGUGUCGGGCCUGGAUGCUAGUUUCUUGCUUGGGCAGCUGGCCCCAAAAUGACAUUUCAGCCUUGGUUCCUCGAGGCUGAAAAAUAGAGCUCCGCUCCUUGUACGGAACUUAAAUUCAAGUGUCAAUUUUGAAGGUGGUUAUAUAUUCGGGGUUUCGUUACUGACGUUGAAAAGACUGGUACUUACAAUGGCAUCGAACUAUGGAGCGCGGAAGGGCUUGGAUAUGAUAUGUUGAUAAUGGAUGGGGG